AUUGAACGCUGGCGGCAGGCCUAACACAUGCAAGUCGAGCGGAUGAAGGGAGCUUGCUCCUGGAUUCAGCGGCGGACGGGUGAGUAAUGCCUAGGAAUCUGCCUGGUAGUGAGGGAUAACGUCCGGAAACGGGCGCUAAUACCGCAUACGUCCUGAGGGAGAAAGUGGGGGAUCUUCGGACCUCACGCUAUCAGAUGAGCCUAGGUCGGAUUAGCCAGUUGGUGGGGUAAAGGCCUACCAAGGCGACGAUCCGUAACUGGUCUGAGAGGAUGAUCAGUCACACUGGAACUGAGACACGGUCCAGACUCCUACGGGAGGCAGCAGUGGGGAAUAUUGGACAAUGGGCGAAAGCCUGAUCCUGCCAUGCCGCGUGUGUGAAGAAGGUCUUCGGAUUGUAAAGCACUUUAAGUUGGGAGGAAGGGCAGUAAGUUAAUACCUUGCUGUUUUGACGUUACCAACAGAAUAAGCACCGGCUAACUUCGUG
rnacentral:rRNA from 1 species